rnacentral:rRNA from 1 species
GAAGUGUGGACGCCAGUCUGCAUGGAGCCGACCUUGAAAUACCACCCUUUAAUGUUUGAUGUUCUAACGUUGACCCGUAAUCCGGGUUGCGGACAGUGUCUGGUGGGUAGUUUGACUGGGGCGGUCUCCUCCUAAAGAGUAACGGAGGAGCACGAAGGUUGGCUAAUCCUGGUCGGACAUCAGGAGGUUAGUGCAAUGGCAUAAGCCAGCUUGACUGCGAGCGUGACGGCGCGAGCAGGUGCGAAAGCAGGUCAUAGUGAUCCGGUGGUUCUGAAUGGAAGGGCCAUCGCUCAACGGAUAAAAGGUACUCCGGGGAUAACAGGCUGAUACCGCCCAAGAGUUCAUAUCGACGGCGGUGUUUGGCACCUCGAUGUCGGCUCAUCACAUCCUGGGGCUGAAGUAGGUCCCAAGGGUAUGGCUGUUCGCCAUUUAAAGUGGUACGCGAGCUGGGUUUAGAACGUCGUGAGACAGUUCGGUCCCUAUCUGCCGUGGGCGCUGGAGAACUGAGGGGGGCUGCUCCUAGUACGAGAGGACCGGAGUGGACGCAUCACUGGUGUUCGGGUUGUCAUGCCAAUGGCACUGCCCGGUAGCUAAAUGCGGAAGAGAUAAGUGCUGAAAGCAUCUAAGCACGAAACUUGCCCCGAGAUGAGUUCUCCCUGACUCC